GGAUAAAGUGAGUCUCGUGAGACUUUUUGCAUGUACCUUAUGAAUAAGGACCGGCUAAUUCCGUGCCAGCAGCCGCGGUAAUACGGAAGGUCCGGGCGUUAUCCGGAUUUAUUGGGUUUAAAGGGAGCGUAGGCCGGAGAUUAAGCGUGUUGUGAAAUGUAGACGCUCAACGUCUGCACUGCAGCGCGAACUGGUUUCCUUGAGUACGCACAAAGUGGGCGGAAUUCGUGGUGUAGCGGUGAAAUGCUUAGAUAUCACGAAGAACUCCGAUUGCGAAGGCAGCUCACUGGAGCGCAACUGACGCUGAAGCUCGAAAGUGCGGGUAUCGAACAGGAUUAGAUACCCUGGUAGUCCGCACGGUAAACGAUGGAUGCCCGCUGUUGGUCUGAAUAGGUCAGCGGCCAAGCGAAAGCAUUAAGCAUCCCACCUGGGGAGUACGCCGGCAACGGUGCAACUCAA
rnacentral:rRNA from 1 species